GCACAGCAGUCGCGCCAGACUGCACGACGCGGGGCUGCGGCUGGCGUCGGUCCCGGCGACUGCCACAGCGUGGCAGCAGCGAGCGCCAAGCGCGGUCACAAUAAAUAAUCUUCCCGCGGCAGCCGCAAUCAAGCUGCCCGCGGCCCUGCAAUGCAAAUAUACAGCUUUAUCCCCCCUGAACACAGCCCUGCGCUGGCGGACGCCCCCAAGAUCCACAGCCCGUCUUAAUUAUCUAAUGUAUACCAAAUGUAUUACCUUAAAAUGGGAAAACAACCACCAAAACCAAAAAACCAGAAAACCCAAAAAACUCUAGCACCUCAAAAUCGUUUCUGGUCUCUGUCCCAGGAAGCUCCCGAGACAGGUCUGCCUGGGGAGCACCCAGGCCAAGCUACCACCUCACUGUGCCACCAGAUGUAAAGCCCACACCCGCAGCAUCCUGAGCGUCUUCUCCCAGACGGCUCCACAUCCCGCGCUUGUGGGAAGCGGGGCGUGCGGUGCCAGCCCGCAGUGCCGAGACUUCCACCCACGCACCUACUCCUCCGCUUGCUGCAGACACCGCCUAUCGGAAAACCGCGUGAAGGGAAGCAGGCAAUCAGCAAAGGAAUCUGGCUGAAUUAUUGUUGGGGAAUUCAUUCGAACCAUUUGGGCCAGGAAUGAAAAAGAAAAAGGAAAUCCAAACCCAAGAGGCUAACAAGGAGCGCGGGGUGCAGGGCCACUUUCUUUUUUGGGUGCUGGGCAUGGGGACAGAGAAGACCUCUUGAGUUGCUGCAAGGGCGCUGUGCCACAGGCGGGCAGGCAUUUACUGCCGUGAUAGCGGCUCCCAGAAGCUCCUGCCCCCUUGACAGCUGUCGCUUGGGCAGCCCGGGGAGACGAAUUGUCCUUCCUGGAGCCAGAGGACGCAGGAAAUUAGCCAGGUUGCGAGUUGCAAAGCGGCCGCCGCGGCG